AUGGCUGUCGUCAGCUCGUGUCGUGAGAUGUUGGGUUAAGUCCGCAACGAGCGCAACCCUGCAUUCAGUUGCCAUCGGUAAGCCGGGCACUCUGGAUGGACUGCCGGCGACAAGCCGGAGGAAGUGGGGACGACGUCAAGUCAUCAUGGCCCUUAUGUCCAGGGCGACACACGUGCUACAAUGGCCGGCACAACGGGAAGCGAAGGGGCGACCCUGAGCGGAUCCCACAAAAGCCGGUCUCAGUUCGGAUUGCAGUCUGCAACUCGACUGCAUGAAGUUGGAAUCGCUAGUAAUCGUGGAUCAGCCAAGCCGCGGUGAAUACGUUCCCGGGCCUU
rnacentral:rRNA from 1 species